rnacentral:rRNA from 1 species
GUGCCAGCAGCCGCGGUAAGACGUAGGGUGCGAGCGUUAAUCGGAAUUACUGGGCGUAAAGCGUGCGCAGGCGGUUCUGUAAGACAGGUGUGAAAUCCCCGGGCUCAACCUGGGAACUGCACUUGUGACUGCAGGGCUAGAGUGUGUCAGAGGGAGGUGGAAUUCCGCGUGUAGCAGUGAAAUGCGUAGAGAUGCGGAGGAACACCGAUGGCGAAGGCAGCCUCCUGGGAUAACACUGACGCUCAUGCACGAAAGCGUGGGGAGCAAACAGGAUUAGAAACCCUCGUAGUCC